AUCAAAAUGGAACCCUCUAGUGUUUCCCGCCCCCCAAUUACCAUUCCCCUCUUAUUUUCACCCAAAACUUAAAGGAUACAUCUUGAAGCUCUCAACACCCAUCUUUCUCUAACUCUCUCGUUCCAUCUGUUGCCGCUAACCACUACCGCAGAAGAACACCUACCGCACCACCAUACGUUCCAGUUUCGUUGCUCGAUUCGUCUGGCGCUACUUUAGCCAAUAUUAUGGCGAGAAUAUGAUUAUGCUUUGAAGAUGCACACCAACUGCUCGAUGAAAUGCUUUUACCAAAAUGACAUCUAUUUCACAUGAUGGAUCAUGGUGAAUCCAUAGGAUCGUGAGAAGUAGAGUCCAUGCAUCCCGAGAAGCUUUACAAAUUAAUGCUCACUCCUUGGGCGUGAAAAUGGUUUAUGUUGUUUGGAUGUAAAAAGAUUAAUUAUCAGGUGAUGAAACUGAAAAUUGGCAUCGGAAUGGAAGAAGUUUAGCUUGAAGGAGUUCGGGAUUACGACUUCGAUGAUCGCAAAGUCUACACGGAUAGUUCUGAAUGGUCUUAAAAGAAAAGGAAGUUCCACCUUUGAUUUUCAAGAACUUCUGGCAUGUCCGGUUUAUGCAGUCUGGGUCAUUCUCAGAUCAACUUGGUGUCCAAAAAGAGGAUGCGUAAAAGAACCACAUUGAUGAAGUUUAUGAAGGAGAUAGCUUAUGAUGGAGUUGAAAUACUUGACAAUGAUAAUUUGGGAAAGGAGUAGAGGAAUACUCAGCUGCGGAUAUGGGUGGCAUUCGCGAAGAUUGGUUGACUUAUGCGGUUACCUCUAUUUUUAAGUGACAAAUUGUAUUUUAGGUGUUGAUAAUGUAUUGACAAACAAUUCUUUUUUUUUGUUAACGUUAAAAUAUUUGUAGUAUACUUGACAAAUGAUUAUGUAAUGGAUUGUUUUAGUAUA